rnacentral:rRNA from 1 species
GCUCCUACGGGAGGCAGCAGUGAGGAAUAUUGGUCAAUGGGAGAGAUCCUGAACCAGCCAAGCCGCGUGCGGGAAGACGGCCCUAUGGGUUGUCCCCCUCUUUUGUCGGAGCCCCCCCCCCGGGACGUGUCCCGGACUGCGUGUAUCCGAAGAAAAAGCAUCGGCUAACUCCGUGCCAGCAGCCGCGGUCAUCCGGAGGCUGCGAGCGUUCUCCGGCUUUCUUGGGUUUCCAGGGUGCGCCGGCGGC